AUGGAGGCUGUGUUUGGGCUGCUGGGGAUCUUAGUAGGAGUGUCUCAUGGUAUGGUGACCUCCUGUGAUGCUAGACAGAACAGGUCAUGUUAUGCAGCUCUGGGAGGAACUGUCUAUCUCCAGCUGGUGACUGAUGCCAGAGCAUAUGAAAUCACGCUUAAAAAAGACUAUUCUAUACGAAUAUUCCGAAUGAAAGACAAUGAGGUGAUAAUCCAUGACUCCAUUACAGCUAGGUCACACUUCUUCAUCAGCAAUGGGACAUUUAUGAUAAAUAACACAGAAAGGACUGAUUUAGCUCAAUACGUAAUUGUAACCUUUGAUAAAAAUGGAACAUCAUUGGGCACCAGAGGACUACAACUGUUAAUUGAAGCCCCUGUGUCCCCUGCAAAGCUGUCCUCUGAGUGCCUGUCUAAUGGAGAGGUGAGGGUGUCCUGCUCCUCUGAGGGGGACGGUCCCCAGUACAGCUGGACUCUGGAUGGACAACCACUGAGAGACACUGAGGCCUCUCCUGGUGACAAGACAGACACCAUCACGCUGAAGAAAGGCCAGUCUGGAGAUCUCACCUGCACCGUCAAAAACAACAUCAACAGUGUUACCACCAGCGAGAGAAUCUCGCACUGUCCAGCACUCAUAUAUAUUAACUGCACCAAACCCAACAAGACAAAGACAGCAGAGUGGGUGAUUUCAGCUGGUAAUACCCUGUGUGCUAAGCCUACACCAGUGGCAACCACGACUGGGACUGAGGCCUCCACCAGUAGAACAACCACUGUGAUCAUCUGGAUGGUAGCAGGGUCUCUGGCAGCAGUGGUUAUUGUCAUAGUGAUGGUGUUGGCAGUUUACUGUGUCCAGAAGAAAAAUAAACCUUCAAAGACGCCAGCUAAUGAUGACAGCCAGGUUGUGGAAUAUGCUGAUGUCAGGAUACUGAAGAAGCAGAUGAGACAGAAGGAGAGGGAGGCGUCGAUCGAGGUGGAGUAUGGACAGUUUAAAACAUUACAGGGUCCCCGGCGGAAGGUAGACACACCUGACACACCUGAGGAGGAGGACUGUGUAUACGCCAGGGUACAGAAAGGCCAGGAAGCAAGGUACUGUCUAGAUUCAAUAUGA
rnacentral:lncRNA from 13 species